rnacentral:rRNA from 1 species
GACGGGACCGCACAAGCGGUGGAUGAUGUGGUUUAAUUCGAUGCAACGCGAAAACCUUACCACCUUGACAUGGCAGGAAUCCCGAAGAGAUUUGGGAGUGCUCGAAAGAGAACCUGCACACAGGUGCUGCAUGGCUGUCGUCAGCUCGUGUCGUGAGAUGUUGGGUUAAGUCCCGCAACGAGCGCAACCCUUGCCAUUAGUUGCUACGAAAGGGCACUCUAAUGGGACUGCCGGUGACAAACCGGAGGAAGGUGGGGAUGACGUCAAGUCCUCAUGGCCCUUAUAGGUGGGGCUACACACGUCAUACAAUGGCCGGUACAGAGGGUAGCCAACCCGCGAGGGGGAGCCAAUCCCACAAAGCCGGUCGUAGUCCGGAUCGCAGUCUGCAACUCGACUGCGUGAAGUCGGAAUCGCUAGUAAUCGCGGAUCAGCAUGUCGCGGUGAAUACGUUCCCGGGUCUU